rnacentral:ncRNA from 1 species
CUACCGCCGCCGAGAGGCGCGGGGAUGGGUCGGCAGGAGUCAGCAGAGGCCGUAGUAGCCGGACCAAGCGGCGAAGGGC